UAGAAUAAUUUUUAAAACUUGGUAAUGGAAAGAGUCUUUCUAGAAGGGAGAGACAACAACUCACGAGGACAACAACCGAUAUUUUCAUGCUAGUUCUUUUUGAUGUAUUUAUCACAGUUCCGUUCAUGGAGUUUCUGUUGCCAGUAUUCUUGAAACUGUUCCCCAACAUGCUGCUUUCUACUUUCUAGGAUAAGAUGAAAGAAUAGGAGGCAUUGAAAAGAAGGCUAAAUGCAAGAAUAAAAUAUGAUAUGUUUCUUCAAGAUACUGUGAAAGAAAUGACGAAGGAGAUUCAUAAUUCCCGAAGUGGAGAAAUGAAGAGACAAUAGAAGAACUUGAUGAAUUUAUGAACAAGGUCAAUCAUGUUAUUCGUAAUAUAGCUAUUUUAUAUUUCAGCUGUCAUCUUAUGGACAAUAUUGUAUAUUAUGUUCGUAUUUAGUUUGUUAAUGGAACAUGUCAGAACAGGUGCUUGAGUUUCAAAAGAUGCGAUCUUAGGAUUUGCCAAAUUAUUUAACGAUGAGUUCACUUUGGAUAACAUAGUAGGCCUCGCUUGGUAAAUAUGUGUAAAUACAUGGCUCUGAUUUUGGUGUAUGUAUAUAAUCAUUGGCUCUUAUAGGUUAGAAGAUUUUAGGGAAGUUUCAUUUAAUGCUGUGUGCCAGAUUUUUUAUUUUAUUUGGUGUAGAUCAGGAUUUUUUUUUCCAAGCAUUAUACAUAAUACAUAUCUUAUAUAUGUUACAUGAAUCUAUGAAUGUUUGCCUUCUCACUUACUUUUUUGUAUCAUUGUUAUUUUGAAAAUAUAGAUUUGAAAUUUUAGGCUUUGACAGGAUCAAGAAUGAUGAUAAAUUGAUUAAAGAAGGUGUGGAGUCUCUUUCUGAAGCAGAGCUUCGUCAAGCUUGUAGAGAUCGAGGAUUACUUGGAUUGCAUUCAGUGAAAGAAAUGCAGCAUCAGGUUAACAAUAAAUGUUUAAACAUAAUUUGUACACUGGAGCUCAAUUAUGGAGUCUCCAACAUUGUGUUAAUUUAUUGGCUGGGAAAUUCUUGAGAAUGAGAAACUAGCCAUAUAAUUGCUACUUUCAGAAAUUUGAACCAUUAUCUUCUUA